rnacentral:rRNA from 1 species
UACGUAGGGGGCAAGCGUUGUCCGGAAUUAUUGGGCGUAAAGAGCUCGUAGGCGGUUCGGCAAGUCGGAUGUGAAAUCUCCACGCUUAACGUGGAGGGGCCAUUCGAAACUGCCGUGACUCGAGUCCGGUAGGGGAGUUCGGAAUUCCCGGUGUAGCGGUGAAAUGCGCAGAUAUCGGGAGGAGCACCAGUGGCGAAGGCGGCAUCCUGGACCGACAUUGACGCUGAUGAGCGAAAGCUAGGGGAGCAAACGGG